UUUCCGUAGGUGAACCUGCGGAAGGAUCAUUACCGAGUGAGGGUCUCUCAGGCCCGACCUCCUACCCUGUGUUUUUGUGACCUUGUUGCUUUGGCGGGUCCGCCUCGUUGAGAGGCCGCCGGAAUUCCACCGCUUUGGGCCCGUUCCCGCCCGUAGCACCCUUAAAUUCUUAAUAAACCUGUCUUCUGAGUCUAGAUAUAAUAAAAAAAACUUUCAACAACGGAUCUCUUGGUUCUG
rnacentral:misc_RNA from 1 species